GGGGAUAUAGCUCAGUUGGUAGAGUGUUUGCCUUGAGUGCACAGGCCCUGGGUUCAAUCCCCAGCACCCCUC